rnacentral:tRNA from 1 species
AGCCCCGAGGUGUUUGACACGUAAGAUUGCAAAUCUUAAAUAGCAUAUUAACGUUUGCCGGGGCUU